GAUGAAGAACGUAGCGAAAUGCGAUAAGUAAUGUGAAUUGCAGAAUUCAGUGAAUCAUCGAAUCUUUGAACGCACAUUGCGCCCGCCAGUAUUCUGGCGGGCAUGCCUGUUCGAGCGUCAUUUCAACCAUCAAGCCCCCGGCUUGUGUUGGGGACCUGCGGCUGCCGCAGGCCCUGAAAUGCAGUGGCGGGCUCGCUGUCACUCCGAGCGUAGUAGUUACAUCUCGCUCUGGGCGUGCUGCGGGUUCCGGCCGUUAAAAGCCUUAUUUACCCAAGGUUGACCUCGGAUCAGGUAGGAAGACCCGCUGAACUUAAGCAUAUCAAUAAGGGAGGA
rnacentral:misc_RNA from 1 species